rnacentral:rRNA from 1 species
AUUGAACGCUGGCGGCAUGCCUUACACAUGCAAGUCGAACGGCAGCACGGGAGCAAUCCUGGUGGCGAGUGGCGAACGGGUGAGUAAUAUAUCGGAACGUGCCCAGUCGUGGGGAUAACGUAGCGAAAGCUACGCUAAUACCGCAUACGAUCUAUGGAUGAAAGCGGGGGAUCGCAAGACCUCGCGCGAUUGGAGCGGCCGAUAUCAGAUUAGGUAGUUGGUGAGGUAAAGGCGUCACCAAAGCCGACGAAUCUGUAGCUGGUCUGUAGAGGACGACCAGCCACACUGGGACUGAGACA